rnacentral:rRNA from 1 species
UACAGAGGUGGCAAGCGUUGUUCGGAAUUACUGGGCGUAAAGGGCGCGUAGGCGGUCCGAUAAGUCCUGUGUGAAAUCCCUCGGCUCAACUGAGGAACUGCACGGGAGACUGCCGGGCUUGAGUUCGGGAGAGGGAAGCGGAAUUCCGGGUGGUAGCGGUGAAAUGCGUAGAUAUCCGGAGGAACACCGGUGGCGAAGGCGGCUUCCUGGACCGACACUGACGCUCAUGCACGAAAGCGUGGGGAGCAAACAGG